AUGGACAUUACAAAAUUAGAGAGGAAUUUAAAUUUGUUUGAGAAAGGUCAUGACAAUUGCAAGAUCAGUCUCAUUACAUUAACCUCAUGUGAUUACUCAUUCAUUACAUACUAUGGUACAAAAUUCCAUUACAACUUGGUUCAUGCAAAACAUAAGAACCUAGAUCUACAUUCAGGCUACUCCCUCAGAUUUUAUAUGCCUUCAUUCACUUUUGCUUAG